UCAACCCGAAAAAAGUCAUGUAAACAAUGCAAUGACUCCGAAGCUGUUCAGUUAAGGUAAAUUAAGCUAAAAAAAACUGCGUAGUUCCCCUUUAAUUGAGUACCAUUGAGUACUGAAUUACAAAAUACAUCAAUUAAUGUCCAGUUCUAUACGUAAGUGCAUAACAUCUAAAUAUUACUUCAUACUCUUCAGGACAAUAGCUCCCAUUCUAUCAACAAAUUCAUCUAGAUAAGAGAUCACACUGCUCUGACUGAUCGCGCAGAUCAAACUGGUGGCAAAAUUGUCUCUGUUCUGGCGUUAGGCUCCCAGACAAAAUCUCAGCCGCAGUCACCAUGCUGGUAACCUACUCUGCUUUUGCAAUGGUUGAUUACCAGAUUGCGAGAGAUGUUUAAGAUCAUAAUUAGCUGAUAUACUGCCCUAAUAAUAGAUCUGAAUAGGUUCCGGUGCCAAGAUUUGUCAAUCAAGUGGGUGGGGGGAUUAAAGAGCUGUAUAACUUGUUAUGGUGGUUGCAUCUGCAUACCUGCCUCCUGCUAUUGUACAAAGGUUAGUACAAAGUACUCAAUAGAAUCCAAAGGAAUGCAGGGCAUCCUUUUAAAAAGGGCCUCGGCAAAACCAGCUCCUCUCAUUUGCAAAGACGCGGCUAUGCAGUUUUGAAGUGCCAGAUCUUCUCAUAGCGAUGGAUUGCAAGGCCUGUUGCGGGCGUUGCAUUCUCUUCCUGGUCCUGGCAGUGAUCUGUGAUGUCGUGGGCCUGGUCCUCUUCCUGGUGGGCAUCCUCGCUCCGCUGACCUUCUGGGAUUUGUUUGUGCUCUCCGGGCCUCUCGUCAUCUUCCUCAGCCUGGUGUUCUGGAUCUUCUGGUACCUGGGGAACCUCACUGUGCCAUAUAAAGAGCUGUUGCCACUUUAAGGCAGAUAGCGAUUCUGUAUCUACCGGGAAAUUGACAGGCUGGCAAGAGCUAAUCUCUCAUACAUAAAUACAGAGUUAAAGGGCUGAGCAGCAAGCUGAUGUCAAAUCUUAUGACCGACAAUGAGGAGUUUACACAGACUGAACUUACGCCUGACAAUGAUUUAAACGUACAUUUGAAUUCUCACGGCUUUUGAAGUCAAUUACGUCUUUAAACGUACCAAACCACGAGUUACCAGGGGUUCGAAGAUGAAAACUCUCCAUUUUGAGGCACUUGAAUAUGUAUAAUAACGUUGUACUUCCUUGUAAAAACCUGUGGUUGUAUUUAUGGUUAAUAAACUAUGUUCACUAUGAAUUUUA